AGAACGAACGCUGGCGGCAGGCUUAACACAUGCAAGUCGAGCGCCCAGCAAUGGGAGCGGCGGACGGGUGCGUAACACGUGGGAACAUGCCUUUCGGUACGGAACAACUGCGGGAAACUGCAGCUAAUGCCGUAUACGCCCUUACGGGGAAAGAUUUAUCGCCGAAAGAUUGGCCCGCGUCUGAUUAGCUAGUUGGUGAGGUAACGGCUCACCAAGGCUUCGAUCAGUAGCUGGUUUGAGAGAACGACCAGCCACACUGGGACUGAGACACGGCCCAGACUCCUACGGGAGGCAGCAGUGGGGAAUCUUGGACAAUGGGCGAAAGCCUGAUCCAGCCAUGCCGCGUGAGUGAUGAAGGCCUUGGGUUGUAAAACUCUUUUACCUGGGAAGAUAAUGACUGUACCAGGAGAAUAAGCCCCGGCUAACUUCGUGCCAGCAGCCGC
rnacentral:rRNA from 1 species